rnacentral:tRNA from 1 species
UCCCUGGUGGCUCAGACGGUAAAGUGUCUGUCUGUAAUGCAGGAGACCCAGGUUCGAUCCCUGGAUUGGGAA